UUUUUUUUUUUUUUUUUUUUUUUUUGCCUACACAAAUAUAACAUACAAGUAUUACCCCAUUGUGUAAGUGUUUAUUCAUUUUGUUAUUUAAUCCCAUUUUUUAAGAAAUUGAUACUUGGUCCCCUAGCUGUUUAGGCUUACACAUUAGACAAACUAUUGAUUUUUCUUUUUUCUCGUAAAGUCUUUCCUAUUUUUAUCAUUACUAUAUAAAAAGUAUGAUAAGUUUUGGCAAUAGAGAGUAUAGGAGUGUAAGCAUAUUUCUAUCUCAGUUUUUGUUAUACCUAAAUUAUGCUCAUUUUUUAAAAUUAGAGUUAUUGCAUUUCAAUCAUGACACUAAUAAGAAAAAUGAAAUGUUUCAAUAAAUUACAUCUAAAAAAUGUUGGUUAUUGAAAUUAAAAACUGCUCAUUUACAACUAUAUUCAUCAAUCGUUUCCCUUAUCUCCAAUUAUUGGAUGUGUUAAAAUUUUCUCCAAUUAUUAUAUUGUUAUGUGUGAUAAUUAAAGUUAACUGCAUUUUAUAUGCAUAUUGUUUUAGAAAAAAAAAAUCAUGAUUAAUAAGAAGACAAAAAGUUAUAAAUAGUUCAUAAGAAAAAAAAAGCUUAAAUUGAUGAUUAAAUUCACUAUAUUAUGUCAUAUUGUUUAAGAAAACUCCAAAAAAAUAUCGAUGAUAUCGAUAAUUAUAAAAAAUAUAACAAAAAAGGUUUACAACUAUUGAAAUUGAUAAAAAUUUGUCAUAUCCAAAUUAGAAUGUUUUAAUGUGUGUUUUGCUUAGAUUUUGUUGUGUGCACUCGUUUGACACAACAAUUAUUUUAUGACUUGAUUUUGAGUUUUUUCACCGUUUUAAUACUUGCAAAACACGUGUAAGUGACUGGCGACAACGUUAGACAUCUGUCUUUUCUAUAUCAUUGGAACCUAUAAAUGCUGUAUAACAAAAUUCUUUAAAGAUUCUUUCUGUAGUUUGAUCAAAAGCGUUUAGAUUGUCUAUGUAUGAAUACAAAUGAAUAGAAACAAACAUUGCAACCAAAAGACUUUUUAGAGAAUCUUUUAUUCGCAAGCUUCAUAUCACUUGCAAACAGUGGUGAUAGCAAGGGGGGUCAAUUGACUCCACUUCACUUUGGGAAAAUUAGUUUUUAGGUUUAGGAAAUUUAGAAAAUUUUAAAGUUGUAUAUUAGUUGACCCCACUAAAUUGUACUAAAUUCUCUUACUCUCACCAAUAUUAUAAAAUGAAAAUAUGAAAGUUAUGGAAAUGCUAUUAGCUUGAAAGUUACACAUUAUUGUGAACCACUAAUUUUUAUAUGCAUAUUGCUUCUAUUUUCUCAACGCUAGUUUUGUAGGUAUAUAUCUCCACCCCCAAUUUUUUAGCACACAAAUCUUUAAAAUCUCAAGUGAUAGAAAGUGAUGAUUAAGAGAAUUUUAUGUGUCUGUAACAUUCAAAGUUAUGUUUAGCACAAGAAUUCAUAUUAAAACAAUCAAUGAUUUGACUAAAAAUUUACUAUAGUUUAGCAAAUCUUAUCUUACUAUAGAAAAAGUAGGAGUUUACUUAUCUAAAGGUGUAUGGUCCUCUAUGCAUUAUGGGGGUAUUGUGUUAUCUUAGGGGCAAAAUAAUCUUUUCACUUGAGCCUCGUCGAAAAAAUUAUACAUGUCUCCGCCUACUGUCUCUCUUCUCUCACUUUUUUUGGCUAUGUUCAAGAAAUCUUCCUCACAAUUUUCCUAGGUUUUGCAUAGAAGAGCUUACUGCCAUAUUUUGGUGGUGUAUUUGAUUUACGCGAUUUGUAUGUUGUAAAGCACUAAAUCGUUUGUGAAUUACCCAAAUAACUUAGUGUAUGUUUAUUUUGGAUGGUUUAUUAACUUUAGUGUAUGUUUUGAACUUGUAUAAAUUUGUUGGACACAGUUAAAAACGAAGCAAUUAUAUAUCACUGUCAUCUCGUUUUACAAUUGACCAGAUAUAGCUAUCUAAUCCUUCAUCUCUUACAUGUCAAUUGACCACCCUGUUUUAUGUCAAUUAACUCGCAAAACAAAACUAUCCCUCUAUUAUGCUGACUUUUUUUUUUCUUUUUCAUCGUUUUCCUAUCUUCUUUUAAAUUAGUUUUCUUUUGUCAAAUUUUUAUUUUUGAGUAAAUAAAAAAUUAAUCUAUCCACCAAUUAAACAUUUUAAAAUUUUUAUUCAUCAAAGAGUUAAAUUUUUAGUGAAAUUAUAUUCUACUAUUAUUUCCUUCUAUGUAUAGAUCUUAUGUUAAUUUGUCUCUCUUUUAUGUGUUAUAAUUCAUUCUCACAUAAAAUGUAGGAUGUCCAUUCUCUAGCUUAAAAAAUUGGAAAAACAAUAUAUAAGUGUUUGUUGUAAUUAGUUAAUUAUAAAUCAAUUUCAUCCAUUAUCCACAUUAAGAAAUUAAGAAAAAUUUGACAUUGUGUAGGUUUUCAAGUUAAAAAUUCCUAAUUAUCUAAUCAAUUAAGUCCGAGUAUUUCAAUUUUUCACAAGUAUAUGUGUCAAAUAUGUAUAAUGAUAAUUUUAGUUGAUCCUACAGGAUAUAGGGUAAUUGCUAUGGAUUUUUAACUUGCACUAUUACCUUUUUUUUUAAUUUUAAAGGUCUGAUUUUAUUGCUUUAAGCAAAAAGCCAGUGCUGGAGGGAGGCAUAGACCGUACCUCCCAAGAGGACGCUGCAUGUAUCAAAACUAGGGUAGACCUAGCAUUUUCAAAGGGAAAGGAGCCCAAGCCUGUCUAACCUAAAUGCCCCUCAGGCUUGAGUAGGGAGCUCCGAAAGAUGAUGAUAGGUUCUGUCAUAGCCUUCGUCACAGCCAAUAUUAGAUAAGCUAUCAGCCACUUGAUUACCCUCUCGGAAGCAAUGAGAGAUGCUAGUGACAUGGGGCAGCAGCUGAAGGAGCGACUGGACUUCCAUAUCAAUACUCCACGGGCAUCGAAUUGCUUGCUGCACUAUCUGAACGAGUACCAGAGAGUCCACCUCCACGUGCACUCCCACAUAGCCACAAGAGAUGCACAAGUUAACCCCAAAGAGAAGAGCCCUUGCCUCAGCCUGGAUGCUAGUGCAGCUCCCAACAAAUGUGGAAAAAGCGAGCAGGAGCUUACCCUCGCCAUCACGUAAAACACCACCACCUCCCGGCCGUCCCGGAUUGCCCCUGGAACUGCCAUCCGUGUUGAGUUUAAGCUCCCCCAUUAUAGGCCUCAACCACUAUUACCUAAACAAUCAAGAAUUUAAGUAAAAGUAAUGCUAGCAAAAUGGCAAGGUUCAAAUUAGUAGAAGGAAUUUCCUUGGAUUUUUGAAUCCCUUGUUGCUCAAGAUAAGAAAUUAACUUGGUUGAUUUAGGCUGUUAAUGUGUAACACAUCAAAGAUAUACUGCCAAUUUUAUUCAAAUAAUGCUUUCGCCAUUACCCAAACAUACUCAUAGCAAGUUUAUGAUGAGUUAACUUGAUACAAGUUCAUUAAGAUAUAUGAAGUAGUAAAAUCAAAUCUACCUAAAUACAUUUCCUACUUUCAUGAAUAUGAUUUUUAGGGUUUGAGAAUCUUGGUCUACACUUGUAUGGCAACAUUUAAUGUACAAUAAAUGAUUGGAUAAUUCAUAGUUGGUGAUCAAACAACUACAAUAUAAAGUGUGUGUGUGUGUGUGUAUGAACUAACAAGUUUCAUGAAAUAACCAAGAUCAACACAAGUUAGCACAUAUAUAAAAACUACAAGUUCACCUUUACCCUAAGAGCAAAUAGUUUAGGUAGACAUGAAAUCUAACAUGAAUAAGCUCAUGACACAUUUGCAAUAGAGCAUGAAUAAACACAAGGAGAUAGGAAGUAAAAUUUGAAGAAAUCUUAUUCCUAUGGAUGAAUCAAGCUUCUCAAACUCCACUUUUACAAUUGUUUACUUCUAGUUCUUAAAACAAUAGUGUUUCCUCCUAACUAAAAAUACCUCACCUUUUGCUUUCUACCACUACUUCUACUAACUAAAGCUCUCUUCUCUCUAACUCUUUUAAUCUUGAAAUACAAUGUGUAUAUAUAUAGAAGUUAGAAUGAACGAAAGUUUUCAAUGAAAUAACAUAAAGCUUCUUCACAAACUUUUAGGGUUUCUUGGGCAAUUACAAUUGAAAUUUCAGCUGAGAAAUGAGUUGUAAAAGUUCUGAAAAAAUAAAGUAAGUAGCUAUGCAAGUUGCACACCCACCUUAAGAAUAUGUGGGGUCAAUAUGCGUGGGUGGGUUGCAUAUUACAUAUCCUCGUGUUUUUGCUUCUCCUAUAUCUUCUUUGUCUUUUUCUGCUCAGCACAAUACCGAGGGGAAGGGGGUGAAUACUCGCAUUUUGGUUGGCAUUUUCUACCCAAAAUGCUGAUCUUGUUUGUUUUGUUAUUUCCAAAGCAUCUUCAAAUCGUGUCUAAUGUUAUUGCAUGAAUUCCACUUGAUCCAAAGUAACCAUGAAUUACCAAAUCCUACAAAUGUAAAAAGUUUUGCACAUUAAACUGCUUAAAUGCAAGUUUUGGUUAUAAAAUGGAACUUAUGUAAAAAUAGUAUCUUAAAAGAGCAAUUUUCAUCCUUAAACCUUAAAAACAUUCCAAAACUAAAUAAACACAUUUAGGAACAUGUAAAUAAAAUACUUAUCAAAAUUUAUUAUUUACUUUCAUUAUAAUUAGACAAUUCAAAAUCAAACACUCAUUUUUUACAAUCACAUUCACGUGCUCAUUAUUUGGCCAUCCUUUUCUUCUUUUUCCUCUAAUGGAUUUUUCUUACUAGGAUCUUUUCUCUACCUUUUUUUCAAAAAAUUGAUCUUUUUUAAUUUUUUUUAAUAGGGAAAGGAUAGGAUUUAAGAAGUGGGAGCGAAGAAGGAUAUUUAAAUAGUAAAAUAUCCCAAAAAAUUGAACUGCAAAGAACUGUAUAUAUGUAUAUAUUUUUAUGAACCGGGUUAUUUUAUUUGAUAACAAUUAAGGAGGGCAUACAUGGAAAUCAAAGCCAAAACUAGCGCUAUCUUAACCUACGCCCUAACUCUACGUAAACUUGGAACAUCCAUCUGAUCAAGAGCGACGUCACCUCUCACCAAGCGAGGCAAAUCACGCAACGAGCCAUAUGUUAGAGUUUUUUCCUGAGUCCGUACCAAUGUUGGCAAGGCGGUCAGCCGGUUUAUUUGCUUCACGAAAGCAGUGUGAUACCUUUCUAACAAACCUACUGACUUUUAACAUGUCCUGUAAGUCCCCUUGCAAACGCCAUGGCCAUCGAGUCUUCCCUAAAAUGAUCUGAACCAGAACUAAAGAGUCAGAUUCUAAGUGUAAAUCGGAAUACCCACGCGCAAUAGCUAGCCUAACACCAAAAAGCAACGCCUUCAAUUCAGCCUGCAAACUUGUCAUCUCCUCAAAGAAGCACGAAUACCCCAAAAGAAACCUUUCUUCCGAACACCGAAACACCCCCCACCUCCACUCACUCAUGGAUUUCCCCAAGAGCAGCCAUCUGAGUUCAGCUUGACCACCGAGUGAUCUAGGCAGCUCCACCAAACCACCAAGGUACUAGAAAUCCCGUGCAAACCAGCCACUAUACCGUAAAAACCUGGCCAAUCCUGACCAGAGGUUCUGAAGCCCUGAAACUUAAGGAGGAAAAUGCCCCCGAGAUCCCCAAAAAUUGCUGCACAAACCUAAGCCACGGGCCGCAGAUGGCCAUCAAAUACAAACGAGUUCCGCAUCUUCCACAAAUUCCAACAAAUUAAAGACGGCAAUAAACAGAGUAGAUACUGAAAAUAUCGGUUCCGAGUAGGCAUCAACCACUAGCUAACCAACUUGUGGCGUAGCAUAGAGGAAUCCCGAAACCCUCCAAUCACCCCUUCGAAAUAUCCCCAAAUCCUCUUUGCCGCCACCCUGGUACAGAAAAUGUGAUCAGUAGACUCUUGACAUGGAUGUAGACAACAAAAACAACGAGAGGGACUGAAUAUACCAAGUUUAUGCAACCUGUCCAUCACCGGCAAUUGGGAUCCUAUCAACCUUAACAUGAAAAAAGAAAUCUUUAUCGGCAGCCCUUGAAGCCAGGGUCGUGAGUAGAGCCAAGAGUUGUUGCCACCCUCUCGAGCGAUCCGGUAGGCUGAUGCUAACAAGAAGGCACCGGAGGUACUAGGAGCCAAACCAUGGUAUCCGCUUGGUCCAGCUAAGGAGGCACAACUCCCAUAAUCCUCCCCACCCAUCCUCCAGGUGCUACCUCGCUCAACCACUAUACAUUCCAGCGACCCUGUUCAACAAAAUCGGAAACGUUACACUCCUGAAAAGUAUCUACAUGACGACAUAAUGGACCCGUCCCCAACCAAUUGUCAUGCCAGAAGCUAACACCACCCUUAGCCAAAACCCAGUGGAUGUGUUGCUCCACUACACCCUGGAUAGCCACCAUUCUUUUCCAAGUCCAAGAAUCCUCGGGAGAAGUAUCAGCAAAGCAAGGAUGAUGGUUGGAGCAAUAUUUAAGGUUCAUGAACUCAGCCCACAACAAUUGCCGCAACCGGAAGUGCCACCAUAGUCUCAUGGAGAAGGCAUCAAACACGUGCUUUAGGGAUCUCAAACCAGCACCCCCCUGUCAUAUGAGUUGCACAACUGGUCCCACUUGAUCUAGUGGAAGCGUGGCCCAGCCUCUGAGGAGCUCCAUAGAAAAUCAGCAAAAAUGCUCUCCAUCAAACUGAAUAUCGACUUAGGAGAGGUUGAUGCAGCGAAUAUGUGAAUAGGCAUAGAGGAGAGCACACUCUUGAUUAGAAUUAAUUUACCACCAUGCGAGAGUAGCCUCCCUUUCCAUGACAACACUUUACUCGUGACUGAUUUACAAACCCUUGCAAAGUAGCAUCUCUUUCGCCGCCCUGCAUAUAGAGGACAACCCAAAUAUUUAACCGGAAACUCCUUCGACUGAAAACCAGUCAUCUCCGCAAUCAACCGUUUCCUACUCCCGGGAAAAUUGACAUGAGUCAAGACACAACUCUUUUGCUGGUUCACCUUUUGAUGAAAGAAUUGUAUAUGUAUUAUCUUCACGAUUCAGCAGGGGUGGUGAGCAUCAUUAACUGAGUGUAUGUAACUCAAAUCAAGUUUCUCAUAUUUUUUUCUUGUACUUAAUAAGUUGAACGCAUUUAUAUUAGGAAUGAUGAAUGUGAGGCCCUUAAAUUGGAGACCACGUUUUACAGUCAUUGAACGAAAUUUAAGAAUGUAUCCUAGGUUUUAAGAGCACGAAAUUCUAUUUUUAAUGUUCCAAAGGAAUGUUGAAUUAACGAUGUAUCUCCAAAUUCUCUACUUAUCCUUUUAGCGGUUGUUGGAAUUUUAGCGUAACUUAAUUAAUUUUUUUGGAUAUUCAAUUAUACCCUUAUUAAUUGACUAUCGAAGUUUCAUAUUAUACUCUCUUUAAUUUUUUAUGAUGAUUGUUGUCAUCUUAGUUUUAUUAAUCUAAUUAUGCACUUAUUAAAUUGAUGAUUGAUGUUUCAUAUUUUGCUCUUUUUAGUUUUUAAUUUAUUAUGAUGAUUAAAAUUCAUUACAUCAUAACUAUUGAUUUAAAGGAAAAUAAUUGUUGAUGACAAGAUAAAAUGUUAAGAGACACUAAGCAGUAUCUGGUCUUUGUUUUCUAUUGGUCCAAAAUACCAUUCUUCCUAAUAAUUAGAUUUAUUGCAUUUCAAUAAUAGUAAUUACUGUAGUAGUAAUGAAAAAACUAUAACCUUAAUUAAAUUUGAAUUAUGAAGAUAAUAAACAAAAUAUAAUACUCCAAAUCAAUGUGUCUUUUUGCAUUCUAUUUUCAGUUUUUAUUUUCGUUAAAAAUUCUGGAUUAGUCAUAGCUUAAUUAAAUUUUUAAAUCUUCAAAAAUAUAUCAAAAGAAGGUGUUCUUAGGAUAAUAGAAUCUUUGUCAUUUAUGCUUUAUGCUAGAUUUUGUCCAAAAAAUUAGAAGAUGAAAAAAAUAAAAGAAACACAAUAAAAUUUCAGCUCCCAAAAAAUGAAUAGUUAGACAGAAAAAAUUGAUAUGUGGUGGAUGAUUUAAGCUCCAUUGUUAAUAGAAAUAGCAUACAAAAUAUACAAAGAGUUCUCAUUUUUUCCAAAAAUGGUGCAUAUAACUUCAUAUUGAGGAAGCAUUACUAUAUAAAAAGUAGUAUGAGUUUUGGUACUUUAGAAUGUAAAUGUAUGCAUUAUUGUGAUCUUAAUUUUUGUUAUUUCAAUUAUGCCCUUAUUAAUUGAUGAUUGAAGUUUCAUAUUAUGCUCUUUUAAAUUUAUUGUGAUGAUUAAAAUUCAUUAUAUAAUAUCUAUUGAUUUAGGAGAAAAUAAUGGUUCAUUAUUAUUAUUAUUACUAUAUAAAAAGUAACAUGAAUUUGGCACUUUGGAGUGUAAGUGUAAGCAUUAUUGUGAUCUUAGCUUUUAUUAAUCCAAUUAUGCCCUUAUAAAUUAAUGAUUGAAAUUUUAUAAUAUGCACAUUUUAGUUUUUAAUUUAUUAUGAUGAUUAAAAUUCAUUAUGCCAUAGCUGUUGAUUGAAGGCAAAAUAAUAGUUGAUGACAAGAUAAAAUGUUAAGCAUUAGAGACUAAAUAGGAUCUGGUUAAACUCUGUCAAAAUUUUCUAAAAAUAAAAUAAAAUAAGAUUUUGUUUAAAAAAAAAAAGGAUCUGGUCUUUAUUUUCUACUUGCCCAAAAUGCCUUUCUUCCUCAUAAUUUGAUUUAUUGCAUUUCAAUAAUAGCAAUAACUAUAGCAGUUUCAAAAAAAGAUUGUAACCUUAAUUAAAUUUGAAUUAUUAAGAUAAUAAACAAAAUAUACACUCCAAACUAAUGUGUCGCUUUGCAUUCUAUUUUCACUUUUUCAUUUCCAUUAUAAAUUCUUAAUUAGUCACAGCCUAGUUAAAUUUUCAAAUCUUCAAAAAUAUUACUAUUGAUUUCUUAAAAUAACAGAAUCUUUGUCGGUUGUGCUUUAUGUUGGAUUCUAUCCAAAAAAAUUCAAAAAGAAAAGAAAAGAAAAAGUAAUUAUCUCUACCAAUAAAAUUUUAAUUAUCACGAAAUGAACAAUUAGACAGAAAAAAAUUAUAUGUGGUGGAACAUUUACACUCCAUUGUUAAUAGAAAUAGUACACCAAAUAAUACAAAGAGUUCAAUUUCAAAGAAUACAUAUCUCUUCAAUUUUCAAAAAAUAGUGCAUAUGAUUUCAUAUUGAGGAAUUUCAUCAAGCAAUUGACAAAUUCAACUUAUGUAACAUGAAAAAUAAUAAUCGUAGUGCAUGCAACUGAUAUUUUUGUAAACAAUUAUUCUAUUUUAUUUUAUUUCAUUUCAUUUUUAGCCUCCAAUCCCUCCCUACACUCUUUUUCAUCCCUAAUUGUUAGGUAUAGAAUUCGAAUCCUGAACCUGACAUUAGAGAAAACGCUAAAAACUCUCUUCUGGUCAUUGGGUCAACCUCAAUGGUUGGAAAACAAUUAACAUUUGGUUAGCAUGCAAAUUCAGGUUAUCCUAACUCCAAAUAAAACAUAAAAAACUGUUCCUAUAUCUAAUUAAAAAUAAAAAAAUUUAGUUUUAUUAUCAUAAUUUAUUUGUCUUGGGAAAAAGAAAAACCAAAAGAAAUAAUUAUUAUUAUCAAUAUUGUACAUACCAAUCAAAAUAUUGAUACUUUUGUCAAAUCAUUUCAUAUUUGGUCAAAUCUUUAUUUUCUUAAAUGUUAAUUUUUCAUCUUCUUUACUUAAUUGUCCUUAAAACCGUUAUUUUAAAUUGAAAGAGACCAAAUGUAUCCUCAUAUGUUAAAAUUUCUCUAGAGACUUUAUAUGAUUUGAUACAACAUUUAGUGAACCUUUUUUUCCUUUUAAAAUAAUGGUUUUAAGGACAAUUAAUUAAAGAAGGUGAAAAAUUAAAUAAAAAAGAAAAUAGGGAGAGAGUUGGGUUGGAUGGUAAGAUGAAAGGGAUUAUAAGUAGAAGGUCCUAGAUUCAAAACCUCCUACUUAUUAAAAAAAUAAAAACAAAGUAAAAAGGAAAUAGAAAAAUAUGCAAAUAUUAAAUUUGUUUAAAAAUUUUUCACAAAAAAAAUUUAAUGUAUACAAAAUAUUAUAUUUGAUGAUAUUAUAAUCAUGUAUAAAGCACGUGACACCAGUUACAAUAAAAAAUGGCAAUAUGGUUGUGCCAACCUUUUAACUUAUGAAACCUCACUAAUUAUAUUGAUGAUAAUGAUACCGUAGACGUCUGCCAUCUCUUUAGCUUGUGAAACACAGUGUAAUCGUGCCCUCAAAAUUAUGAAACCUUUCCAUCCAUGGCAGAAAUGCUCCUCAAAAUAAUUCAACUUUAUCGGAAGAAAUUAUGGCACAGUACUUCCCUCCCUAUAAGUUGCAUCGCACUAUAUAUUAUGCCCUCUCUAUGACUUAAGAAAUAUUCCUGUCACUGCUCAUCGUGUAGAUAUGAACAACAUCAAGAAAAUAGAAAUGUGGACGUGAAGGAUUAGCAUUUUUUUUUCAUUUCAAUAAUGACUACUACCUGAUAUUGGUUUUUAAAUGCAUUUGAGCAAAGCUGAACCCAUAUGCAUCAAUGUUUGAAUUAUUUUGUAGGCCCAUCCAUAUGACCUACCUGAGACUAUCUUAUUGACAAAAUUUAGGCACAGAAAAAGGUAGUUGGUAGGGUCAAUUUCAAUUUAAAAAGAUGAGAUUGAGUUUGAAAUACAAACGAAACUUGUAAUAAAUUUGGACGUUAUCACUAUUUUUUACCUACAUUGACUUCUUUUUUUCCUUAGUGCUGCAGUUUUAGUGCUUACAUAAUUACAUGGGCAAACUCCAAUUUACCCCAUGUGGUUUAGUGUUUUUUAUAUAACCCCUUAUAGUUUUAAAAACUAUACAUAACCCUCUUAUGGUUUGGAUUAAAGUGUCAAAGUGACGGAAAUGAUCAUUCAUAAUAGAGUCAUCUAAAAUGUCAAAAAUACCCUUAUGUAAAGUUAAAAAUUAUUUAUUAACCAAGGGGGAUUAUGUAUAUAUUUUGAAAAUCAUAAGGGGGUUAUAUGGUAAAACAUUAAACUAUAAGGGGAUUAUAUGGUAAAACAUAAAAAUUAUACGAGGUUAGUGUGUCAUGUAUUUAUAAGGGUAAUUUUGAUAUUUUCAAAAGUUCCGUUACUUUGACACUUUAAUCUAAAUCAUGAAGGGAUUAUGUAUAGCUUUUGAAACCAUAGGGGGUUAUGUAAAAAACACUAAAUCACAUAGGGGUAAAAUGUAAUUUGCCCUAAUUACAUUGCACUGUGCAAUUAAAACUAACAAUUGUAGGAGCCGCAUUUCCCUCAAGUCUCAAUCAUCCUUGUAACAAUCAUCCCAUAAAAGUCUCAAUCAUCCUUGUAACAAUCAUCCCAUAAAAUUUACCGAUGUGGAUGGGAGAUAUUAACGAAUAGCUGUGCCAAUUGUAUUUGUCUAAUGAAAAUGUGAUUUGCAUAUUUUAAGUGCAUCGUGAUUGUCCAAGAAUACAUCUCCAGUUCUCACCUACAACCUUACAUGUGCAGCACGCCUCCCUAUUUCUCAACAUUGAAUUGUUCAUCCUUUGGAAUCCAGAGAAGAGUUCAUAAAAGAUCCCACUCAGGCUUCUACUCUCUGCUCCCCAAUCUCAAUCUGUCCUUACCAAAUAGUAUUUAUGGAGAAAAUUGAAGUAGUGAUGGUUAUGGCGCCAAUGCUGAGGCACUUAAUACCAGCCAUCGAGCUAGCUAAGAUACUGCUUCAAAGAGCAAAUUGUCUAGCAAUCUCAUUCCUCAUGAUGAAUUCAACAUUGGACCCCGAAGCCACGGCCAAAAUCGAGUCUCUGACUGCCUCUUGCAAAUUUGAUCGCCUUCAUUUCCGUCACCUUCCGAUGCCAGACAUCUCUCAGUGGAAUAUUCCACAUCAGGGAAUCUACCUUCAUCAACUCACAGAGUUUCACAAGUCUAAUGUACGAGAAACAGUCUCCAAAAUCAAAGGUUUUGCAGGGAUUAUUGUUGACAUGAUAAACACGCCAAUGAUGGAUAUAGCUGACGAGCUCAGUGUUCCUAGCUACAUCCUUUUCACUUGUAGUGCGGCCUGUCUUGGCGUUAUGCUCCAUUUCCAAGCGCUCGAAGAUGAGCAAACUAUAAAAACAUGUCAUUUACUCCAGAGAGAAACUAAAUUGGUCAUUCCUAGUUUUACCAACGAAGUUCCAAUUAGUGUACUCCCAAUAUUUACAACUAUGGAGGGAACUUGGUCAGGCAGGUUCUUGAAUCAUACUCGCAAUUAUAGAAGAGCAAAGGGCAUCAUUAUCAACACUUUUGCUGAUUUUGAAUCUCAUGCUAUUGAUUCUUUGUCAAUGAAACAUUCUUACGGUACAACAGGAGUGCCAACCACCUAUCCUGUGGGAUUAAUCCUGAAUAGAUCUCAAAUCCAGGCAGAAUCUACUAAAGGCCAUUUAGAAUUGAUGAAUUGGCUUGAUGAUCAGCCAGCAAAGUCGGUGCUUUUCAUCUGUUUUGGUAGUACAGGAAGUUUCAAAUUAGAUCAAGUGAAAGAAAUAGCACUGGGCCUCGGAAAAAGUGGCUAUCGGUUUAUUUGGGUUCUUAGGCGGCCCCCGGCUAUGAAAGGAGGAUUUGCAGGGGAAUUUGAGAAUCAUGGACCUCUUCUGCCAGAAGGAUUCUUGAAUCGAACAGCUUCGAUUGGAAAGGUUGUCAGCUGGGUUCCACAAUUGGCUAUUUUGUCACACCCGGCUGUGGGCGGAUUUGUCUCGCACUGUGGUUGGAAUUCAACGUUGGAGAGUAUUUGGUGUGGUGUGCCAAUUGCUACAUGGCCGUUGCUUGGAGAUCAACAAUUGAAUGCCUUCCAGUUGGUGAAAGAGUUACGAAUAGCUGUGGAAAUUAGUUUGGAUUACAACGAAGCCAAUGAGCAUCAACCAUUGGUGAAAGCAGGACAAAUAGAGAAAGGAAUAAGGGAAGUGAUGGAUGGUGAGAACGAAGUCCGGAAAAGGGUGAAAGAGCUUAGUGAGAAAAGUAGGCAGGCUAUGAAGGAAGGUGGAUCAUCUCAUGUGACCUUUGAGAAUCUCAUACAUACUAUCUGCAGCAGCCGUCCUAAGUCUGGCGUUUGAAUUGAUAAACUUGGGGAUUUGAAGGGUGAAAACUUGUGUGCUGAACUGAAAUGUUAAUUUGCUCUAUUUUGUAGAGUUACACGUGUUUGAUUAAAACUGUCAACAAACGGUAGGGGCCUGCUGAAAUCCCCACCACAGCAGGUGGAUUUCUUUGUUCCCCUAUUUCUGUUCUUGCUGUCUGAGUUUCAAUGGAAAGUUCUGGCUCUUUCCUGUUCAUAUAAUGGGAACCUGAACUUUUUCUUCUUUUUUAGCGUUCUCUUGUUUCAAAAUGUAGCGUGUUGGUUUUAAUUUCAGCGCUUGGUUUUUGUAGCUGAAGAUAAACAGUAGGUAGCAUAUGAGAAAGUAAGAUUUGGACCCUAUUCAUGUUAAUCUGGUCAAAAGCAGGUUGCACAUAUUUUAACAGGCUGUGGCACCAAUAUGGUAUUUCAUAAGUGCCCUACCGUUGGUGCCCUCCCGGUCUAAUGGUGACUUCAUGACUAGGAUUGAGUUUCAAACAUGUUAUUUAGAUCGGAUUCGAGCAAUCUGCAAAAUUAGCGAGUCGUGUUCGGGUCAAAACAGUUGACUUGUUUAAUUUUUCGACUUGCAUUCGAGUUUGACUGGUUGUCCAGAACAUAUGGGUACAAACCUGACCCGUUAUUCUACGUUCGAACCUAAUUCUCAUCCCUGACAGGGUGUCAAAUCUGUGCAAUAAUAAAUACCUGUUUAAAUAAAAUAUAAUUUCUGUGGAUAGUGAUAAGUAGGGUCAAAUCCACAGUGACUAGGAUAAUUUAUUUCUUUUAGAGUCCGAAAUAUGGGGGGUUUUUGAAAAUGAGAGUAACUAAAUUACUUGGAAUAAAUUAAAAUAAAAUAAAACAACUACAACUCAAAUAACUAAUUAUCACAAUAAAAAUAAUAAUGGACGAACUCUAGCCAAGAGACAACUUCGGAGAUGGUUCACUUAAUUCGAUCACAGAUGCAAGGAUUAUUCCAGUUACUAUCUGAUAAAUUAGUUAUAGUUGUCAUACACGCAAUAAACAACCAACUUUUCCUCAAUUUGUCGAUAGCCAAGGUACGACCGUUGGCUAUUUUUCUAAUCAGGAAAUAACCUUAGGUACGACCAUAGAAGUUCAAUUCCCUAAUUGCAUGAAUAAUUAGAAGAGCCUAAUUCUAACCAAUCAACACGCUACGAGGGUCUCUUUAAGUUAGUCUGUCUAUCUCCCUAACACAAAUCCAAUCAUAUCAGUUGCCACCAGUUUAGAAUAAUUAAAUAAUUACGGAUUUAACUACCCUAAUUGGCUUCAGGUUAUUGAAUUAAUCUAGAAUCCGGACUCUGGAUAAUCGAAUAAUAAAACAAUCAUAUGAACAUAAAGCAGAAGAUAGACGAAUACCAGUGAAUAAUGGAAAUAAAUAAAAACUAAUUCGAUCUCACAAAUUUGGUAGAACCAAGUCCUCCGUUGUUCCUCGACUAGACGGGAUUUAAUUCAUCUUCAUGGAGGAAAUCCCAUGCAAAAGUGCAGAAGUAAUUAUUGAAAACAAGCUAUGUCUCCGUCCCCCCUAGAAGAAAACGGCAAAGCUAUAUAUAAAGUAAUGAAUCCGAAGGAACUAGCUAGAAGCAAAAACAAAAUGAAGCUCUCCUAUUCUAAAACAAAAAUUACUUCUUGUCUCGUGGUCCCCACGAAUAAGGAACAAGCCACAAAGACUAAUGCCUUUCUUUUCCUCUGUACGUUUGUUUCCUUAAAGCCAAAAGAAAUGACUCAAUGCUAUCUAUCUAGUGGUCCCCACCAAAUUGAGAGUCCAAAGGCCAAAGAAUUGGAGCUCUGCGAAGUCCUUGAUAUUAGUUUCCUCUUCAUAGGAAAACUUUUAAUCAGCAAAAGAGAUGCAAUCCGUCUGUGGCACCUUGUGGGCCCGGGUUUGUGAAGCUCUUUGGAGUCUCCCACGUGUGGAGCAAUUUCCUCAACAGGUCCUCUUUUUUAGUAUAUUUCAGUUCAACUUCCCUGUAGAUAGGUCCAAAUAUCAAAUAUAAGUAUAUAUUAACAAUUUAAACAAUAUUUGGCAAGGACAAAGGGGGAAAUUAACAAUAAAAUUACUAACAAUUAGCACCCUAUCAAUUCUUCUCACACUUGAACCAUGCUUGCCCUCAAGCAUGAGAAUAGCAAUUGAACACCAAAAUUUGACAAUGGCUAUUGCUCCAACUACCGUAUUGCCAAGAUACCCAGAAAGACAUAUAUCAAGCAUCACAAGUUAAGAUUCAAGAAAAACCACCCCGGUUAGCUUCCCAACCACCAACUCCUCCAAUUUAAAGCAAACUAAUUUCAGAAAAAGGAAUGGUUGCUCACAUUUAUCAGCAAAUGGUCUAACUGUUAACCAAAAUCUCGACAUUAAGUUCACAAACCGGCAAGCUGAUUUAUUCGCAUACUAACACAAUCUUUACUUUACUUUUUUUUUUCUUUUUGUUCGAGUAACAAAAGACUUAGUCUAUAGCCCUUAGAGUCUUUUGACGCGAACUCCAACAUUUGGCAAAUGGAGGAGCCUGGUUACUCAGCUCUAAUUGCUACGAGACCACGCACUCAUAGCAACUACUAUCUUUUGACGCGAAAAUCAACACUUUAGGUGAAGAUCCCCGAUUACUCAGUAGUAACUACUAGCGGAGUACAGUCAACUCUUAUUUACAACCAUAUAGCACGAUAUCUAAAAGCAACAUAAGAAUAACAGCAGCCAGCCUCAAAUUUCCAGACAUGGAGAACUAAAAUUAAUAAUUGGACCAAUUUACAUGAAAAAUGCCAACAAUCAUUCCCUAUGCCUAGAAAAAUUAACCAAAAAUUGGAAAAGUUAAGCAAUUUCUUGAUAUUCAUCAAAGAGAUGUUCCUGAAUUCAACCACAUCAACUUGAUACAUUUUUAUUAAUAAACUUGGCAAUAGCAUAAUUAGAUACAACAAUCCAGCAUCAAACUUGGUAUUCAUAUGAAGAUUGACCAUUAGAGAAAAAAAAAAGGAGAUAAAUAUCAAACUAAAACAAAGGAAAAACCUCUAGAACCUAAAAACCAAAAAUACUAGCACCCCAACUGAUAUCCCCCCCACACCUAAAUAACACAUUGCCUUCAAUGUGAUAACGUAAAAGCAGAAGGAAGGAGAGGAGCGACGGUACUUCCUUGAAGUCAUCAAAAUAGGGGCAGUUCAGGUGAAAAUUGUGGAUCAACUCGCAUCUGGAGCUGGUGCCAUUUGUGGCUUCACCAUGGACUCUAGAUAUCACUCUAAGCGACAAGAGACUACAAUUGCCAACAAAUAAUGGAAACCGAAAAUUCAAAGCAAUAACAAUUUUAAAGCCAAUCCAACGAAUAAAAUGCACAAUUCAACCACCCAGAGGACAUACAUAUACCCCAACACUUAUAGCAAUGGCAAUCAAUAAGCACUUGCGGUCCCAAAGUAGUCAAUUUCAAAAUCAAUGCAAUCCAAAGUGCAACAAGUGCUCCCAAGAACUUAGUAAAGGAAACCAAAAGGAUAAAAUGCUCCUAAACAAGGCAAUCAGAGGCAACUAACUUCAAUAAGCAAAUUUAAGCGUUACAGGCACCUCCCAAUUUAACAAGCAAAUUACCCACAAUUAGACACAAAUCACAGCAAAUUAGACAUAAUGGGACCCAAAAUCGUAACAACCACCUCCAAUUGGACAGUCAAUUACCCCAUUCAACCUGCCAAAAUCAGCAAUUAACCAAAGAAAAUGCUCAAAUCAUCUCCUGCACUAUCUAAAACAACUCAAUCAUAGGUUGGACAGAAACGACUCAAUCACAAAUGCCCAGUAGUCACAACUCGAUCAAUUGGAAAACUAAUAACACAGGAUAAACAAAUGUUAAACAAUUACCAUCGCCAGUACCACUGGUAAAUGCACAGGAAAAAAUUAAAUCAAAUGGCCAAACAAAGCCACUAAGAAAUACAAACAGCACCAGACAAUACUCCAAGAGCCUAAAUAACCGACAGUUAUAUCAGACUAGGCAAAUCAGCUGCAGGACAUAGCCCAACCCACAGGCUCCAGUAACACAGAUGCAAUCCAAACAAAUUUACUCAAUGAAAUCGCAAUCACCAAAAUCCCAUCAACAUCAGGAAAUCGAAAUCGGAGACCACAAAAUUAAUAAAGAAAAACCUGGCACCAGGGAGGUUGGGUUAUCGACGGCGGCACUGAUCUGUGCGUCGCGAGUGGUGGAGGUGGAGUGGUGCGCGAGGAAUUGGGCUAGACGAGAGGCGGCGGCAGCGUUGCUUUUGCGGCGCGCGUUGGUGGUUGUCGCGAGGCUUGGAGGCAGCGGCGCGCUUGGAGUUGCGCGCGGAGAUGUGGCGAGCCGGCGAAGAGGCGGUGGACGAAGCUUCGUGCGCGCGAGCAGCACGCGACGGCGGCAGCGAGGGAUUUCGGCCAAAGAGAGAAAAAGAAAAGAAGAAGAAGGAAGCAGGGAAGAAGAGGUAGAAAAGAGAAAGAAAGAAAGAAGAAAAAAAGAAAAAGAAAAGAAAAAAGAAAAAAAUAAAAGAAAAUAAAUUGGUUUUGGGAGUUUUUUUUUUCAAUGUUUUUCCAAUUUUUUUCCGGAUUUAAAUUUUCAAAAUUAGAAUUUUUGAAGUUUUUCUUUUCUUUUCUUUUCUUUUUUGAAUUUUUGAAUUUUCUCAAUGUGAAUUUUUUUUUAAAUUUUUUUUUUUUGGGUUUUGGGUCAUUAAACACAGCGUGGGCACACCAAGAUUAUAAAACGUCCACUGAUUUCAGGAGUCACAAACACCGCGUGGGCACGCCAAGAUUGCUGUCCUGACCACAGUGGAGAAAAACAUUAAGACCAACCACAACCUAAAUAAGAAACGACAUAAUUAAAGAAUUUAACAACGAAAAACAAUAAAAUCAAUAUUUGGGUUGCCUCCCAAAAAGUGCCUUUUUUUAAUAUCUUUGGCUAAACAUUGUUAUCUUUGCUCAGGGAGGAUAAAAUCUUGUGGCUCGUUUCAAUGUUUCAUCCUUUAUAUAGUCCUGAUAACCCUCGUAAAUAGAAUAAUUUUUGAGCACACGAGCUACGGUUUUCCUUGGACUAGUAGAUGGCGCCAAAUAAUCAAGUAGUGAUCUCAAUUCUUCAUCCACUCCUCCAUCAAGAACACUCAACGGUUCAAGAUAUUUGACCAUAGCUACUCGUAACUUAUUUCUGCCAUGAGACUCAAAAACUUCCGGUAUAACAAAAUCAAUCUCAUUAACAGAAAUCAUAGAGUAAGAAUUAGGAAAAUGCGGGUAAGGGAAUGGAGGUGGUGUCACCACAUUUGAUGAUUCUUCACUGGAUUCUUUCACUUGAAUGGGUUGCGGUUGGGGUUCCAUUUCUUCCUUUUCGACUUCUUUUUCAACUGCAUCUGUAGAUCUCUCAUUUUGAUACUUUUGCAUCUCCUCAUCACUAGUCAAGCAAAUUGCACUCUCAUUUUCUUCAAAAUCAACAAUGGUUUUCGAGGGCAAUUCUUCAAUUUGAGAAGCCAAUCGAUUUAUUUUGGAUGUCAAUAGACAUAUUUGAUCUGCCAGAUUACUCAUUGCAUCCUUCAUCAUCCCAUUUCUCAUUUGUGUCUCCUGUUGGAAUUGAUAUGUAUUAGUAGCUAUUGAUUCAACUAUUUCUUCAAGAGACAUACCUGACAUAGAUGAUGAUUCUUGAGACUCAUACUGCUGAAAAUUCAUUGGCCCUGUUGUAUAAUUAUAACUGGAGUUAUCCCACCAUCCUUGAUCAUACCCGUUUGGAUUAGGGUUAUACCACGUUUGAGACCAGGGUGAGAAAUCUCCAUAAUUAUUGAGUGGGACACUCAGAUUAUCUUAAUAUUCGGGGCACAUACCGGUUGAAUGAUCCCUGGCAUAACAAAUUUUACAGGUUGCAACAGUCAUUCUUUCUCUAAUAGAGUUUAGUGCCUCUGAAUAUGCAAACAUAGCAAAAAAACAAGCCUCAUUGCCUUCCCUGGAAACAAAAUUCAGUCUAUCACCAAAAUACGGAGUGUUAGAAGUCAUAAACUAUAUAAAAAAAAAAUAAGAGAAAAAAAAUAAAAACAAGAUGAAUUCAAAAAGAAACAAAUUAAUCUGGCACCAGUCCCCGGCAACGGCGCAAAAAAUUGACAGGGUGUCGAACCUGUGCAAUAAUAAAUACCUGUUUAAAUAAAAUAUAAUUUCUGUAGAUAGUGAUAAACAGGGUCGAAUCCACAAGGAUUUGGGAUAAUUUAUUUCUUUUAGACUCCGAAGUAUGGGGGGUUUUUGAAAAUGAGAGUAACUAAAUUACUUGGAAUAAAUUAAAAUAAAAUAAAACAACUACAACUCAAAUAACUAAUUAUCACAAUAAAAAUAAUAAUGGACGAACUCUAGCCAAGAGACAGUUUCGGAGAUGGUUCACUUAAUUCGAUCACAGAUGCAAGGAUUAUUCCAGUUACUAUCUGAUAAAUUAGUUAUAGUUGUCAUACACGCGAUAAACAACCAACUCUUCCUCAAUUUGUCGAUAGCCAAGGUACGACCGUUGACUAUUUCUCUAAUCAGGAAAUAACCCUAGGUACGACCAUAGAAGUUCAAUUCCCUAAUUGCAUGAAUAAUUAGAAGAGCCUAAUUCUAACCAAUCAACACGCUACGAGGGUCUCUUUAAGUUAGCCUGUCUAUCUUCCUGACACAAACCCAAUCAUGUCAGUUGCCACCAGUUUAGAAUAAUUAAACAAUCACAUAUUUAACUACCCUAAUUGGCUUCAGAUUAUUGAAUUAAUCUAGAAUUCGGGUCCUGGAUAAUCGAAUAAUAAAACAACCAUAUAAACAUAAAGCAGAAGAUAGACGAAUACCAGUGAAUAAUGGAAAUAAAUAAAAACUAAUUCGAUCUCACAAAUUUAGUAGAACCAAAUCCUCCGUUGUUUCUCAACUAGACGAAGGGAUUUAAUUCAUCUUCAUGGAGGAAAUCCCAUGCAAAAGUGCAGAAGUAAUUAUUGAAAACAAGCUAUGUCUUCGUCCCCCCUAGAAGAAAACGGCAAAAUUAUAUAUAAAGUAAUGAAUACGAAGGAACUAGCUAGAAGCAAAAACAAAACGAAGCUCUCCUAUUCUAAAACAAAAACUACUUCUUGUCUCGUGGUCCCCACGAAUAAGGAACAAGCCACAAAGACUAAUGCCUUUCUUCUCCUCUGUACGUUUGUUUCCUUAAAGCCAAAAGAAAUGACUCAAUGCUAUCUAUCUAGUGGUCCCCAUUGAAUUGAGAGUCCAAAGGCCAAAGAAUUGGAGCUCUGCGAAGUCCUUGAUAUUAGUUUCCUCUUCAUAGGAAAACUUCUAAUCAGCAAAAAAGAUGCAAUCCGUCUGUGGCACCUUGUGGGCCCAGGUUUGUGAAGCUCUUUGAAGUCUUCACGUGUGGAGCAAUUUUCCUCAACAGGUCCUCAUUUUUAGUAUAUUUCAGUUCAACUUCCCUGUAGAUAGGUUCAAAUACCAAAUAUAAGUAUAUAUUAACAAUUUAAACAAUAUUUGGCAAGGACAAAGGGGGAAAUUAACAAUAAAAUUACUAACAAUUAGCACCCUAUCAAUCCCCUAUAAAUUACUCAUUAUUUAAUCAUUUUUUAUUUUAUCUUGAAACCAUAGUUCACUAAUUCCCAUCCCCUAUAAAUUACUCACUAUUCUAAUCAUGUUUUAUUUUAUCUUGAAACCAUGGGCCUGUUUGGAACCUGAAUUUUUUGGGAGUUUGUCUAAAACUUUACUGUAGUGCACUGUAGAAGUUUUUAAAAAAUUUUUGUAGAAGUUUUUGUAAGGUAAAAAAUUUUUUUAUAGAAGUUUUUGUAAUGUGAAAAAAUUUGUAGAAGUUUUGGUAGGGUGAAUUUUUUGUUCCUUUUCUUUUUUUCUUUUUCUCUUUCUCUUUCUUUUUCUUUUUCUUUCUUUCAUUUUUCUUCUUCUUCUUCUUCUUCUUCUUCCCCUUACCCGUUACCUCUGCCUCCCACCUCCGCUCCUCUGCUAGCACCACCUCUUUUUUUUUUUUUUUUUCUCCUCUCCCCCCUCCCUCUCCCUCCCCCCGCCACCCCUUUCCUCCCCUCUCCCCACCACCCCCUCCUACUCCCUUCCCCGUUCCCCCCUCUGCCCGCCACACCCCUUGGGCCGCCACCCCUCCCUACUCCCUCCCCCGCCACCUCCCUAUGCCCACCAUCCCUUUCCUCCCUCUCUCCCCAACUCCCUCUGCCCUUCCCCCUCUGCCCGCCACUCCUCUCCCCACCCCUCAGCCCUUCCCCCUCAGCCCUGCAACUCUUUCUCCCCGCCCACCCCCUCAGCCCCUUCCCCCUCUGCCCCCGCCACUCCUCUCCCCCCGGACGAUUGUGCCUGCAGUUAGGAUGAGGAUAAAGCACGAGGCGCAGAUGGAGCUAUCAAAUGGGGUGAAAUUGGAAGGGGCGACGUUGGUUGUUGUGAGGCCCAUAAAUGCUAGUGGAUGUGGUGGUCGCGAAGGAGGGAGUGAGACGGAGGAGCAAAGCGGGGAUGUGGGAUUGGCGAUGGGGGCGUUCAGAGGCGAUGGAGUUUAUGGGGAGGCUGUUGAGAGGUUGCUCAAAUGCAGGUGGUGGGUUCGGUGGGGAGGAAGAAGAAAGAAGGAGAAGGGAUUUUUUUUUUUUUUUUUUGUGUUUUGGAUAUUUUAAGUGUGUAGAUAAAAAACUUUGAGAAGUUUUUUGGGGUUCCUGUAGCAAAAGUUGUUAAAAAACUAGUAGGUAAAAAACUUAGGCAAAAAACUAGCUUCCAAACAGGCCCCAUAAUUCACGGGGAAAAUUACGACACAGGUGUCUAUUCCCGCUAUGCAGGCCUUGACCCUUAGGACUGGUUUACAGCUUUUGGGCCUCUCGGCAAAAGCAACACAUCUAAGAAAGAGAGCGAUCAAUGAGUAGUUAAGUUUCUAAUCUAAUUGUUCUUGUGUCAUUUUUUUUCCUCCUUUUCCUUUUGUUCUGGUCUGUUGAGUAUGGUACAACUAGAGUUAGGUUUGAAAUAAUACACAUUCCAGUUCCGCAGCUUUCUCUCUAUGUUCAUCUUUGGCUCUUAUCCUCUUUUUCCCUAACACUAGGCUUAACCCAAAAAAUCGGAAACAAUUUCUAUCAAAAUCUUUCUCUGAAACCCUUAUCCUCCAUUCUCUUUGUCGCUUUUAACAAAAUGCAUUAUUUCACUUCUCUCACUCAGAGGAAAUGGUUUGAGCCAGAAAUAUUUGCCUCUGCUUUGCCUCUCUCACUGUCAUUAGAGGUGUCAAAAUGGGUGACUUGGGCGGGUUUGGGUUGGGUAAAAUGGGUAAUGGGUAUAAGUGAGUCAACUCAUUUAUACCCAUUUAAUUAGAUGGGUAUAAAUGGGUAAGUCAAAAAAUGAAUUGGGUAACCCAAUUACCCAUUUAUAACUCAUUUAUUUUAACUUUUUGCAAACUCAUUUAAAUUCAUUUUUGCAAACUAAGUUAUCAAUUUAUACCACUCUUUGUACCCAUCAUUAGUUUUAAAUAUUUACUUAUAAUGCUCAAUAAACUUAAUUACCAAUUUUUUUUAUUUAUACUCUAUGUCACAAAAUUACUUAUUAUUUAAUAAUUGAAUAAUACGAAUAUAAAAAUUUGAAUUAAGUACUAUAAAAAUUAAUAUCAAAACUUAAUCCAAAAAUUUUGAACCCCUAACAUUUUUUUCAUAUAUAAAUUUAAAAUUUCAUUUUAUAAAGAUAAGAAAAUAGGCUAAAAUUUAUCAUAAAUUGGUAAUGCUAAAAAAUGAGCAAGUUAACAAACUAAGAAAAAAUAAAAUAAUAAGAUAAAACCAACAAAUAAUAAUAAUAAUAAUAAUAAUAAUGUUAACAUUAUGACAAAAUGAAAAAUUUGAAAAAAAAGGUAGGGAAAAAGAAAAGACUUAGGGGGAAGAGAAUUUUAAAUGGGUUAAUUGGGUUUGAUGGGUUACCCAAUAAUACCCAUUUAAUAAAUGGGUAUUAUUGGGUAACCCAUUUAUACCCAUAUACAAAAAUUUAAGAUACCCAUACCCAUCUAUUCAUGGACGGGUAUGGGUAAAUCUAGUUAAGUGGGUUGAUUUGCCACCUCUAACUGUCGUCACCUUCCUAUUCUAGUGCAGUCAGCUCCAUUUCAGCUCACAAAAAUUAACCAUUUCUGCUUUCUGAAGAAGCCCUUUUAACACUUCACUAUUUCCCUCUAAGAGAAUAAAGUAAACAAUGCAUUCACUUCCUAAUGUCCAAACCCCAUACAAAUCAUUCCCAGCAUCACACAACGGCAAAACAGAACUACACAUUUCAAUGACCAAUAGCAGGAAGCAAGAUAUACUAUACUUACAGAGCCAGGGGAGUAACCAGAGAGUACAUCCUGAAGAGAAGAUUCUGGUUUUCGCAUGAGAAGGCGCAUAAAAGGAUCACAUGACAGGAAUAGAUUCUUAACCAACACCCCAUUAUUUGAGCUUUCUGGGACUGUCAAGCUUGUGGUGGCGUGCGUCCUGAUGUUGAAAUCAGACUCCCCUGGGAGUCCAGUUACAUAGACUUUCAACAUCACCUGCUUUUUCUUCACCACCUCUGCUUCUUGUGCCAUUGCAUCACUAUCAAUCACUAUGGUAGAUAGCAGAAAAUUUUGCAAUUUUUUCUGUGAAUGCCUGUUAGAUGGAGUGAGGGAACUUUUGAAACAUAUAUUUGCUGGCUUUUGCAGGAGAGGAUGAAUUAAGCUAUGGAUGUAAGAUAUGACGUCUGUCCAAUAACCAAACAAGCGUGAAAGAAAGCUGAACAAAUGGCUGCAUAUCUCACUUAUGCAAGAAAUUGUUCAAUUGAAUGAUUACAUAAACUGCUAUAGGAUUCCUUUAUCAGAUGAGAUACUAAGACAAAAUAAAAAGGGAUCCCUGGUUGCAGAAUUUGGUUUUUAUAGUGCUAAAAGCCAACGAAAUUUGAGAAACAAACGUUCAAAAUGGCAAAAUCGAUACUCUUUAUAAUGAACUGCUUAAGCAACGAAGGUGUGAUCUGUUAUUUUUAGUUGGCAAUAUGGGUAUAAUGUAAUCAGAUGGUGAAGAUAUAAUUUAGUGAUUGAAAGGAGUAACCAACUCAGUUAGAUGAAUUUACGUUUCAGAAGAAGUUUGAACCUUCGGCCUAGUCUUCAUAACGAAUUUUAAGAGGCCCUUCCCAACCAGCUCAACUAGAUGAAUAUAUGUUUAUUGUUUUUCAUUACUUUUUAGAGACUAUAGGUUUCCGUUAAUCCUUAUCUUCCAGAGAAAAGGAGUUCGGCAUGGCAAAUAGAAAACCUACCGAUAAGUGCCAUAGCAGCCAACAAAAGAAAAGCCAAAAGAGAUUUCCCAUGAUGAUCAAGAUACGAGCUUCAGCCUUUCAAUUAGAAAACAAUUUUUCCCCAUUGCUAGAAACUUAAUUUAUAAUCUAGGAAACUAAAAAAUCAAUCUUGAAAGCACAAUUCAAAGAUGCACAAGUGUUCUGAUAGGUAAGCUUAUUUAUUCAUCUGAAACGAGAAACAGAAAAUAUCUGCGUAGAUUCUGAUGGCAACAAAUCGAAAUCAGGAUUUACUCAUCCUUGACUUCAACUUGGCACUGUAUUAUCUGGCCUGAUAAAGUUCACAAAGAACUCCAGGUGCACAAACGCAUGAGAGCUCAAACUAGUGGAAUUAAAUUGCUAAUAGCCUGUAGACUGAGGUAUAUACUCUAUGUACAAAGGGAUGGUCAAAGGAACCUGAGAUCAUUCACGAGCAACCAAAACAACCUGUUUCCCGACAUUGCGACCACUAAACAGACCAACAAGGGCAGCAGGACCAUUUUCAAGGCCUUCUGCAAUGUCUUCUACGUAGGUGAUCUUUUUUGCUCGGAU
rnacentral:lncRNA from 1 species